GCCAGUGUGGCUCAGUGGUUUGAGCAUUGGACUAUGACACUGUAGACUAGGAUUCAAAUCCUGGCUUGGCC
rnacentral:tRNA from 1 species